AUUUUCCCGGGUGUUUCUUAUUACAAUGAAAACUACUUGAAAGUAAAGUGACCUCAUCAAUACACCAACUAGAUUCAAAAUGCUACAAAAAAACUAUCUUGUCACUUUAUUAUUAGAACUUGAGAUUUCAAGUAGAAAAGUUUAAAAGUUUAAAAAUUUGCGCACAUCAUAGUAGAACUGCACAUUAGUAGACAUUACUAU